UAAAAAUAUACAUUGAUGUGUUUACUUCACA
rnacentral:piRNA from 1 species